rnacentral:rRNA from 1 species
CGCAUACGCCCUACGGGGGAAAGCAGGGGACCUUCGGGCCUUGCGCGAUUGGAUAUGCCCAGGUGGGAUUAGCUAGUUGGUGAGGUAAUGGCUCACAAGGCGACGAUCCCUAGCUGGUCUGAGAGGAUGAUCAGCACACUGGAACUGAGACACGGUCCAGACUCCUACGGGAGGCAGCAGUGGGGAAUAUUGCACAAUGGGGGAAACCCUGAUGCAGCCAUGCCGCGUGUGUGAAGAAGGCCUUCGGGUUGUAAAGCACUUUCAGCGAGGAGGAAAGGUUGUUGGCUAAUACCCAACAGCUGUGACGUUACUCGCAAGAAGAAGCACCGGCUAACUCCGUGCCACAGCCGCGGUAAUACGGAGGGUGCAAGCGUUAAUCGGAAUUACUGGGCGUUAAAGCGCACGCAGGCGGUUGGAUAAGUUAAUGUGAAAGCCCCGGGCUCAACCUGGGAAUUGGCUUUAAAACUUGUCAGUAGAGUCUUGGUAAAAGGGGGGGGUUACAAUUCCCCAGGGGUGUAACCGGGUUGAAAUUGNCGUUAAAAGAUCCUGGAAGGAAUUCCCGGAGGGCAAAGGCGGGCCCCCUUGGAACAAAGGACUUGG